UACAGAGGGUGCGAGCGUUGUUCGGAAUUACUGGGCGUAAAGCGUGCGUAGACGGUUAUUUAAGUCGGGUGUGAAAGCCCCGGGCUCAACCUGGGAAUUGCAUUCGAGACUGAAUAGCUAGGGUACGGUAGAGGGAAGCGGAAUUUCCGGUGUAGCGGUGAAAUGCGUAGAUAUCGGAAGGAACAUCAGUGGCGAAAGCGGCUUCCUGGACCAGUACCGACGUUCAGGCACGAAAGCGUGGGGAGCAAACAGG
rnacentral:rRNA from 1 species